rnacentral:rRNA from 1 species
CAGCGCCACAAGUGGCAAUCAUGAUUAUUGGGCCUAAAGCGUUCGUAGCCGGUUUGAUAAAUUUCUUGUGAAACUGUCUGGCUCAACCAGACAUCGUGCAAGAAAGACUGUCAAACUUGAGACCGGGAGGAGCUAGGAGUAUUCAUGGGGGAGCGGUAAAAUGUUAUAAUCCCUUGAAGACUACCUGUGGCGAAGGCGCCUAGCUAGAACGGAUCUGACGGUGAGGGACGAAAGCCAGGGGAGCGAUCCGGAUUAGAUACCCGAGUAGUCC